rnacentral:rRNA from 1 species
GUACACACCGCCCGUCGCUACUACCGAUUGAAUCAUUUGGUGAGGUCCACGGACUGUUGUACAUUUUGGCUCCGGUCAGAGUGUACUUCUUGGGAAGUGGCACGAACCUGAUGAUUUAGAGGAAGUAAAAGUCGUAACAAGGUUUCCGUA